rnacentral:rRNA from 1 species
ACGGCUGCUAAUACCCGAUGUGCCGAGAGGUGAAAUCUAAUUGGCCUGACGAUGAGCUCGCGUCUGAUUAGCUAGUUGGUAGGGUAAGAGCCUACCAAGGCGACGAUCAGUAGCUGGUCUGAGAGGAUGAUCAGCCACACUGGGACUGAGACACGGCCCAGACUCCUACGGGAGGCAGCAGUGGGGAAUUUUCCGCAAUGGGCGCAAGCCUGACGGAGCAAGACCGCGUGCGGGAUGAAGGUCUGUGGACUGUAAACCGCUUUUGAUAGGGAAGAACACAAUGACGGUACCUAUCGAAUCAGCCUCGGCUAACUCCGUGCCAGCAGCCGCGGUAAUACGGAGGAGGCAAGCGUUAUCCGGAAUUAUUGGGCGUAAAGCGUCCGUAGGUGGUGAUGCAAGUCUAUUGUCAAAGCAUGAGGCUUAACCUCAUACCGGCAGUGGAAACUGCAUUGCUAGAGUGCGAUAGGGGCAAGGGGAAUUCCCAGUGUAGCGGUGAAAUGCGUAGAUAUUGGGAAGAACAUCGGUGGCGAAAGCGCCUUGCUGGGUCUGCACUGACAC